CUGGUCUGAUUUUUAAAAAAGAGCCCUCCAUUAAUGAAAGAUGUUCACAACAGGGGAAACUGGGAGGGGGUUGGGGAGAUGAAGGGAUAUACGGGAACUCUCUAUUUUCUGCUGAAUUUUUCUGUAAACCUGAAACUGCUAAAAAAAUAAAGUCUACUAAUGUGCUUAAAAAAUCAUGAGUUCAUAUUGACACUUCUAAUUUAAAUUCAGGAUCACCAUGUUUUUACUUAGCCUUGUCUGUUCUUUCUCCCAUGAGAAAUGCCCUUUCUUUUCAGUUCCCAGUGAAAGAUAAACUCAUCUGUUGAGUCUGACCCACUUCACACUCUCAGAUAAGAAUGCCAGUACUAUCAUGUCUUAGUCCAUCUGGGCAGCUGUAACAAAAUACCUUAGACUGGAUAAUUUGUAAAUAAUAAAAACUUAUUGCUCAAGUUCUGGAGGCUGGAAGUCCAAGAUCAAGGCCCAGCAGAUUUGGUGUCUGGUGAGGGUUUGCUCUCUGCUUCAAAGAUGGCGCCUUUGGCUGGGCACCUUGGCUGGCGCCUGUAAUCCCAGCAUUUUGGGAGGCUGAAGCAGGUGGAUCACUUGAGGUCAGGAAUUUGAGACCAGCCUGGGCAACAUGGUGAAACCCCAUCUCUAGUUAAAAAAAACACACAAAAAUCAGCCCAGCUUGGUUGUGCGCACCUGUAAUCCCAGCUACACAGGAGGCUGAGGCACGAGAAUCGCUUGAGGCCAGGAGGUGGAGGUUCCAGUGAGCUGACAUUGCGCCACUGCACUCCAGCCUGGGCAACAGAGUGAGAUCUUGUCUCCAAAAAACAAAAUCAAAAACAAACAAAAACAAAAAACAAAGAUGGCACCUUCUAGCUGUGUCCUAACAUGGUGCAAGGGCAAAGGGACGAACAAGCUCCCCCAGAAGAGCACUAAUCUGAUUCAUGAGGGCAGAGUCUUUAUGACCUCAUCACCUCCUAAAGGCCCCACCUCUUAAUACCACAUCAGAUUAGGUUUCAACAUAGGAAAUUUUGGGGUGACACAAACAUGCAGACCACAGCGCCCCAACAAGACAGGAUUCCACCAUGUUGGCCAAGCUGGUAUCACACUGCUGACCUCAAGUGAUCUGUCUGCCUUGGCCUCCUAAAGUGCUGGGAUUACAGGCGUGAGCCACCGCGCCUGGCCAAGGCAUUGUUAAUUGAGCUUUCAAACAACCCCAUGCCCAUGGGAUAGGUAUUACCUCUGGUUUUUGUAGAAGAGGAAACUGGGACUCAAUGAGCUGGGAUUUGAACAAGUGCCUCCCUGAUUUCACUUACUUGUUCAUAAAUAUUUCUGCAGCACCUAACUGUUUCAGACCCCAUCCUAGGUACUAGGAUACAGAGAUGACCCACAGAGGGUCUUGUCCUCCUGGAGCUCACAUCUAAUGGGGUCAUCAUGUCUGAGCAGACAACUGUGGUAUGGGACUGUCUGUCUGCCCACCUACUGCAAGGCAGCUCCUCAAAGGAAUCUGCAUCUGAUCCACUCUGGGUGACAGCCCAGCACAGCUGAAAUCAGCGGAUGUUUGUU
rnacentral:lncRNA from 1 species